rnacentral:lncRNA from 1 species
UGAACUUAGAAAAAAAUGACAUGGGCUAGGUUAUGAAUGGAUUUAAAUACACGCCAAUAGAAAUCUACCCUAUGAUAUUGGUUACGGCUCAGCUGGUUUCAAUAGAAACUAUGGAUCAAUGAAUCGGAUCGAAUUUGUUAAUCAGCAUAGGUAAAAUGCUUCUUCGUAAACACGAAAACCUGGCUAAAAUGGCGGCUCUCUUCUCUCUCAUGAAACUCGGAAUUCUUUGAAGUUAUAACACAUAUUCAGGUACGUCUUAAAAAUUGUGUAUCCGAAAAGGAAAAGAAAUACAUUUUUGUAAUACCUUAGUUUGUCACUAUGGUAUUUGAUUACAACUAAAGAUAUACAUGUUUACCUUUAUUAUAAUGUUAACUGGGCUUGUUACGUGUUAAAGUUCGGGUUAAUUUACUGAUCAUAGGAAUUAACAUAGCAAAUGGGGGUUUUAACACAUAAAUAAAUCUUUUACGCGAAAAGAUAGUUACCGCCACUUGUGGACAAUUCAUAAGUUCCUCAUUUGAAAUACCGUACACCAGUGGGCUCUCCAAGAUAAUAUUAGAUGGAACUUUCUGAAGAUCUCUCCAAAAAAAUGAUAUUAAGUAUCUGUUUGUUUGGAAUCUAACUUGAAUAAUACUGUUCCGUUUAACAUUUAUUUGUUACCGUAGGAGACGGAAAUUUACAAAUUAAAAGAGCACAAAUGUUUGGAAUUUGGGGUGAAAUAUAAAAGGAAAAUAACCAUAUAGGUAAAUUUUAAAUUUGGGUUUGACACUUAUAAUGAAGUUAUAUUAAUGAGUUUGAUUCAUUCAGGUAUGAAAGAUUUAAUAGAUUUUAAAAAUCUACAACACCAUAAACAAUUAAUUUUCUAAAAAAUCCCCCCCCCCCCAAAAAAAAGUGCUGCCGAUGAAACUAGAUUCAUACAGAUUAUUUUCUUGGAAUUCCAAAAUUCUUGUCUUUAGUAAUUAUUUUUUUUUUGUCCAGUUAAGUUUAUUUUUGACAUAAUAUAUUAAUUCUAAAUGAUAGAGCUCUGAAUUGGACUGGUGAUGUUAUGAUAUCGGUAAUAUAUAUACAUACUAUUCAGAUUAAGAAAGUAAAUUUUUAUGAACCAAGUUCAGUCAGCUUGUUACAUCGGGGUUGUGGAAACAAAUUAUCAAUUUAUUAUUCAAUAUGUGUAAAAUGUUAAUGUCUUCUUAAAAUAAUGUUCCAUCGACUUAGACAAUCUGCAAUCUUAUCAUCACAUUAUUGAAUUCGCUUUCUCUUUAAAUGUUUUCAUUAUUUGCACUUAUUAGCACUGAAUGGACUAACCAGACUAUUAUUGUGGAUCAGGUUCCAUAUUUUGGUAACCACCUUUGAAACUUAAGUUUUUUUUUUUCUUUGUCGUUUAAAUGCAUAAUCUGAAGUGCAUUUCCCUAUACGCCAGACACUUGUUAAAGUUCUUUAAUAUAAUGCUAUUCGGCCGUCCUCCCCCGCAUUACUCUCUGUAUCUGAAUUCAAAAACUGUCUAAUUAUAUAAUAUACAAAUAUGAUCAGAAAAAGUUGCAAAGUUUGAGAUUGGAUAAAGUUUCAUAGUGUUAUAUCGGACUGUUUUUACUCUCUAUAUGUAAGCGAUAUAUUCUAGUAAAAUGAACUCAUUGUACAUGGUCAAGGAGAACGACGGAAGCAGGACAGCUACACUGACAGUCCGAAACUAUGUCAUUUUCUUCAGAUAAAUUUGUCUUUUUCGUUGGAUUUUUUCAACAAUUUUAUUUUUCAAAUUCACGGUUCAGUAGUUCGUAGGUUUAAAAUAUUUACUUAAAUGAACAAAAAGUUGAGUAUAACGUCACAUAAUUCAAUAUUUAAAAUACUCCACCCAUUAAGAUGAUAUCACGAUGUUAAAUACACGUCUGCAGUCAAGGUUCUAGAUUUUGACAUAUACAUUAAAGAUUAAUACAAAAUUGUCCUUGUACGUUUAGUGUGACUUCUCACAGUUUUGUCCAUAACAUGUGAUUUAUUUGGCUAAUUCGAUUUUUUUCUUACUAACUAAUGUGAGAAAAUUCGGCCACAUGUAUUAUAUGCUUCAAAUACAAAGAAACACUCGAUCUUUAAAAAUUGUUCGCAAUAGCCUAUCUGAGCCACAGUCCCCAUUUUUUAUUUCCUUAUAUAAAUAUGCAGUGGAAAAUAAGAAUAAAGGGACAGCACAUACAAUCUACAGUUAUUCUAAGAUAGUAUUGAUUAGUACAAUUAGAACACUUGAAUAUUAUUAAAAGUGCAUGAAAAUAGGUUGAAAAUAUAAAAAAAAUACAUCAUUGAUGUUAGGGGUUAAGGGUGUUUAUAGUUCAAUUUUGAGAAACUGUAAUGACCCCCUGUCAGUUUAUGCAUGUCGUUUGAAGAAUUAAAAACAACAUGUAAGAUUACUAUUUUGGUUUAUUUUAUGAUGCUAAAUUAUAAAAACGAUAGAGGCUACUACAUUGAACUAUCGUAAUUUAAGAUACAAGCUAUGACAGUUCCAAAUCUGAAAACAAGUUUUAUAAAACUCUUGUGACAUUCUUUUGGUUAAACCAUGUUCUUACGGUAGAAACUUCUUAAUUGGUCGUUUAUCUUUGCUUGAUAGUAAGUUAAUUGGGACAAUAUAACCUCCAGUCAAUGUGUAGCUGACCACAUCACAAUAGUUGUCAGAAAACUACUAUCAGAUAACAAAAUCACUUUGCUGUUGGUUAAUCAAUAUGUAACUCAAGGAAGAUGUCAGAUAAUAUGAACUUAUAGUACAACACAAACUAAUGUUACUGUCCUAUGGCAAGCCGUUUUGCUAUUUAUUCUUACUUUAAGAUAUCUCAUAAACUUUAUAAGAUAUCUUAUAUAGUUUAUAAGAUAUCUUAUAUAGUUUAUAAAAUAUCUUAUAUAUAGUUUAUAAGAUAUCUUAUAUAGUUUAUAAGAUAUCUCAUAUAGUUUAUAAGAUAUCUCAUAUAGUUUAUAAGAUAUCUCAUAUAAUUUAUCAGAUAUCUUAUAUAAUUGUCUUUAUAAGAUAUCUCAUAAACUAUAUAAGAUAUCUUAUAAACUAUAUGAGAUAUCUUAUAAACUAUAUAAGAUAUCUUAUAAACUAUAUAAGAUAUCUUAUAAAUUAUAUAAGAUAUCUUAUAUAAAAAUUGUUUAUAAGAUAUCUCAUAUACUUUAUAAGAUAUCUUAUGAACUUUAUAAGAUAUCUUAUAAAGUAUAUAAGAUAUCAUAUAAACUUUAUGAGAUAUCUUAUAUAACAUUAAAGAUAUCUUAUAUAACAUUAAAGAUAUCUUAUAUAAUAUAUGAGAUAUCUUAUAAAAAUGAAAUUAUAUAAGAUAUCUUAUAUAUUAAAGGAGAUAUCUUAUAUAUUAUACUGGAAAUAUCUUGAAAUUCGAAUAAAUAGUAAAACGGCUUGCCAUGCUGUCCCCUUGUAAAAUGUCUUCUUGUAAUCUUAUCUAUACAUAUUCAAGUUAAGAAGUAAUAUGUAGAUACAAUAGAGAUGAAGGUAUAACCUCAAGUUCCGCUUUGGUUUAUACUAGGAUAUAUUGUUAAAGACAAAACGUUCAAAAAGUUCAAAAUACAUGAACAAGUACCUACUAAAGCAAUCAUUUAUAAUAGAACAGUGCCACAACACUAAUUAUACUUUUCUGAUGAAAUCAGCAAGAUUAUAAUUUUUUUAUAUGAAUUAAGUGUUUCAUGACAAAGAUACAGCAUAUUUUGUGGAUAGAUUCGUCGUGAAAUCAGUUUGAAUAUAUGUGUAUUCGUGUAUAUCUGGAUUGUGCAUUUGUUUGGUUGACCGUUAUGGAAUAAUGUGUACAGACAACCACGGAUAUGUUCCAUUUGUAGAACUCGGUGCCAUUUUUUCCAGAUUGUGACAUCACCGGAUACAGUUUUGUCUUUCGUUUUUCAAGGCUGUCAUGAGUCGAUAGGUGCAACUUACGGAACAAGACUAACUGUUUACCUUUUAAUGGAGUACUUAAGUUAAUAGUCGGUUUUGGUGGGGUUCUUUGAGCUGAUCUUCAGUUUUCAAGUAUUUUAUGUACUCUUGAUUUUUUUCUAUUCGUCUUUUUUGCCAAAGUUGUCCAUGGUGUAUAGUAUUCCACUUUUCGUCAACUCGUGGUGUCCUCGUCCGAAUUCGUAAUUAAUUAAGUAGAAUUAUCUGUUUUGCAAAGAGUACAGAUGGAAUAUUGUACAAUCUACCGGUUACAAUUUGAAUUAUUUCAUCACAAGUUUAAAUUUUGCUGUCAUUCCGAUUUCUUUUUUAAAAAGCGAACCUUUUUUUUUCAAUAUUCCGUAAAAAUAGCUUCGACAACCACUCAACCCGAUUUCUGUAUAGACUGAUGUUUUACAUAUGUUUACAUGGAGAGUUCAUGAAACGUUAAACCCGUUAAUCGUUGUUAAUGACUUUAUAUUUUCAAGUAGUUUUUGACUCUACUUAAAAAUCAAAUAGUCAAAAGUAUUCUCAUAUCUUUUUUCUCAAGAAAUGAAUCAUGUUAUCAAUAUAUAUGAGUUAUAUCCCCUCGCAUCAUUAUUGCCUUUUCGAAGGUAUACAAAUACAGUAAGAUGUUUGUCUGUUUGCACACUAAUAAAUAUCUGUCUGUUACUCCUAUAUAAGAGUCAGUAUAGAAAUUUCCUUUUGUAUCAGAGUUUCCUCAUAGCCCAGUCAUGAGAACAGGAUAAAAUCUUUUCAUUAACUAGUAUAAAGACCAAAGUUCUUUGGUUUAAUGAUCCGAGGAGUUGUUCUUUACGGUGCAUUUGAAAACAUAGUAUAGGUCAGGACAGCAAGAUGUUGAAACCAUAAUCCAGACAAUAGCCGCUUUGUCACGCUCCGAUUAAAGAAAUAUAUUUAUACAGUAGAUAUAAAAUAUAAUUAUUUCACACCAUAUGAGACCAACAAACGAUGGGAUAAAAUACAGAUAAAGUGUCGUAUUCAGAAUUGUAAGCGAUAUACGGACGCACAAGAAAUAUGGGAUUGUUAUUGUUAAGUUAAAUACAUAGAAUUUAUACUAAAGAGUGAAUGUGUUUAGAGAGAUUUGUGUGGAUUUCCUAGUGGAUCAUUAUUACAGAAGUAAUAUUUUGGAAUGCAUUUGUAGUUGUAUCUGCCACAUCACUGAGUACUGAGAAGAAAUUUGAUCUUUAGUUUGUUUAAGGGUUAAAUUAGAAAAAAGAAAAUGGGCCAGUCACCCUUUUUUCAUACUUGUUAUAUUAAUAAAGAUUAUAUAGAUUUUUCAUGCAAGAGAUGUCAUUUUAGGGGGUCAUGGAAAGAUUGCACGAAGUACAAUAGAUACCAUCUGUUCUUGACCUCAUUUUCAUGGUGAUGGUCAUAGGUAUGUCCUCUUCUGAGAUACUUUAAGCAAUGAGUCAACUAUGCUUGGUGUAUGGAAUGAUUAUAAGGCGAACAUGUAUGUCUGGCUUGAUUUAUCUGACCUUGACUGCACUUUAAUAAUAGAUCAUUGAUCAUAAUGUUAAGUUUAUGUGAUGCUUGUAGUUAAACUUAAUCUCCAAGACUUUCAACUUAAGAUAAACCAUAAGAGACUAUCAACAUAAAAUCAACCAUGGUUAGUUUAGCGUGUGGACUCUUGUUUUACGAAUAAAGGGCAAAUUAGAAUUAAUCACGAGAGGUUUCGCAAAACCAUGUGAAAGUCUGUUGUUUACCUGGUUCUGGUUGUUAUUUAGAAAAUAUACAUGAACUUGAAUCCAGUGGUUACAUAUCAUUUUCGUUCAUUGUUGAAGUAUAAACUAUGCUGUUUGUUUUCUCCUUGUUUGUUUCGAAUUUUGUUACAACGUGGCCUUGGUAACUUACUGUAUUUUAUGGGUAUUGCUAAUUGUUGAAGGUCGUUUGCUGACCUGUAACUUUUUAGAGGCAGUAUAUACGUUUAAAAAAACACUCGUAUACAUAAACACACAAGAUAGUUUUAACAUAUUUGAGGCUGCAAAUAAUUUUGUUAUCAAAAAUAAUUGUAUGAAUUUCUUUUCUUUCUUUUAGAUAACCAUAAUGGCGCGGAAGCCACUUUCAACGAUUGACUGGAAGCAGAAACACGAGAGGAGUGUAGAUCAAAUUUUCGCAGAGCCGCUAAAAGAAAUAGAAUCAUCGUCGUCUCAAUUCAUCAACGUUCAUGACAAGAUUGAACAAUAUGAACAAAAAUCUAGAUUAAACUUUAACAAAAACCGAGCUGCUCCACCUCCUCCAGGGACUCAAGUAUUUUUGCCAAAAAUUGGAAAUUAUACGCCAAAAAUAUUGUUAUCUAGAAAUAGCAGUAAAGCAUCUGCUCCAAAGUCACCAUAUGAAGAUGCAAAUAUACCAGAUUUCCCACCUAAUGAAAAUAAACUUUAUAACAAACAAUAUUCAAUUGAGCAGACGACAGAAAGAAAGUUGUCGUCUGCUGAAUCGUUUAAGACGAAAUCAAAAUCAGAGUGCAAUAUAAAUCCAGAAGAAGAUAUCUAUCAUACAAUUGAUAUAAAACCUGAUUAUGAAGAAAAUAAGAUAGAGGAGAAGAAAGUUAUGAUAAUUGGGGACAAAGAUGUCCCACUUGUUCUGGAUACUUACUUUGGAGCAGAUGAUGAUGAAGACAAUGAAAAUUUGCUAGUAGCAGAAACGAAUUCCAACGUUACACCCAGUUACGAUGCUGAAGAUGCCAAAGCUUUCGCGGAUCAUGACACUAUAGUAAAUGUCGGGGAGGUGGUGGUUAAUCCUUUAUUCGAAGGUAAACAAGAAGACAAUCAUACAGAAACAGAAAACGAAAUACCAAGACAUUACAAGAAGAGGAGGGCACCUGGUGUUCCGACUUCAUCAUAUGUGAGCCGACGACGCAACAAUUCACAAUCAUCGCAUGCCUCAGACGACGAAUAUCCUUAUAUCCCAGAACCUGACUACGAGGAACACGAGGCGACGAUGAAUUUUGACUUUGUCGAAAACAACGAUCAGCCAAUUCCACCACCGCGGCGCAACCGGCGUAACCGGAAGGUAGUCAAAGAAUACGACGGAGAGGAUUUCUCCCAAUAUAUGGAAGACGAUGAUGGCUUCCAUGAACAGCCUUUUACUUGGAGGAAAAACAUCAAACAUGCAAGGACACCUAAUGCUAAAACUAAACAACCACCGAUUCAAAAAUCAAAGUACUCGGAACGUUCAAAGAUGAGCGCCCCUAAACUAAAGCCUGUUAAAAAGCCAAAACAUACCGAGACGCAACACGGUAGUAUGAAAAGACAAACAUUACGAGAUAUAACCUAUGCUGAUUGUAAAAUGGGCGUAGAUGAUAGGACUAUACGAAGUGUUAAAAGUACGUCCGCUGGAGGGCGUUAUAUUAAGCGCGGGAAAGAACGGACUAUGAUUGUUGAUGGAGAUAUAGGAACUGGUGGAUAUGAAGAAUUUUUAAGAAUGAGACACAAAGAAGACGGAAGUCUAGAGAGUAACAGUAGUGGCGACAGUGGUUUAGAUCCUGGUGAAGAUAUACUUGCACAAGAACAAAUGUUUUAUCAAAUGCAACCAAAAAAUGUACGAGACAAAAAAUCUGGUACUUUGUGGGAAAAGUUGACAUGGCGUUUUAAACGACAUGUUGGUGAUUAUAGGAUGAGCUAAAUUACGGCAUCUAGGAAUCUCUUCUAUCUUUGUUUAAUAUGUUUGUUAUUUGUUCCGCAAUGUUUCAUCUGUUAUAGGUCAGGACAUUCGGGUUUAAUUUAAUAUCAUUUAUUAACUUAGGGUGUCUUUUAAGCCAAAAUCCUGCAUACCAGCCAUAAGCAUAUGGAAAAGGGGGUCUUUAAAUUAUAUUUAUAAUUAUAUCGAAUGUUACACACAUAUGUAUUCGAAUCAUUGCAUUUGCUGAUGUGUGUUAUUUUAAAAAAAAAAUUUCAAACAUCAGGCAAAGUAUGAGCGACAAAUUGGGGUAUCACAUAAUAUAAUAAAUAUCGCACGGUACACGCCCACAUGCAUGGACCAACAAUUCAUACAUGAUUAACGGGUUGCCUUUUCAUGUUCUUAUAAUUUUAUCCGGUUUUCAUCAAGUGAAAGUAUAAACGUUUUUAUGAACUAAAUGUCUUUCAUGUUAAUCAAUUCGAUUGUUUGUUGUCAUUGAUUCAAUCAGCAUUGUUCAUUGUACUUUUAUUCAAUACAAGAAAGAGCGAUGUCGUUUUAAUCAAUACAUGAAUGUUUAUACUGUAUCAAAAUUGUUUUUUUCUUGCACUGUAGAAGGACUAUAAGAAUUGCUUUUUUAUACUAUAUCAUAAUUGUUUUUUUGUUUAAUACACUGUAUCAGAUAUUUUUUUUUAAACUAUCAUAAUUGUUUGGUUUUUUUUUCCUUCUCAAAAUUACUGCUUAUCCGAAGUUUUUAAUUGCCAAUUAUGUUUUAAAGUACAUUUUGUAUCGAUUUAAAAAAAAAAAUUGUCUUACAUCAGCUUCCUCCAUACCUUGUAUCGUUCUUCGUAACGAAAAAUCCUCUCCUUUUAUGCCUUUCAUUAUGUUAUAUUAUGAAUGAGUUCUUUUAUAUCCUAUAUCAUGUAACUUUACAAUGUUUCUUAUUUAAUACCCUUUACUACAUAACUUUACAUAUAGAUUCUACCACUGUGUUGUGUGUAAUACGAUAUUAAACCAUUCAAGACAGUAAAUUUUCAAAUUUAAAAUGCGAGGCUCGCCGAGCGUUUUAAAUAUAAAGUUCAACUGUGAGAGGAUAAAUCGUGAAAGAUUAAGUUAUACUUUGUACCACGAAACGUUACAAUGGUUUUUUUUCGGUAUAUAUGUUACAGGGAAUUUGUGAAAUCAGGGAUUUUGUAAAAUCACUGAAAUUUCAGGGAAUUUGUAAAAUCACUGAACUGAUUAGUGAUUUUAUAAAAUCCCUGAUUUUGCCUAGUGAUUUUACAAAAUCCCUGAAAUAAUAAAGAUCUUUUUUACAGAUUCACUGAUUAAAUUCAGGGGAUUUAUAAAAUAAACUCAUUCGUUUUAUUAAGAAUUUCUGUGAAAAAAAGACUACAACAUUAACAUUCGAUAAGUUAGAGGUUAAUCUAGCCUUUAUUUUAUAAAUAAAAAGCAAAUAAGUAUUAUUAAUUUGCUGCCUUCAAAAAAACAUUUAUAUUCACAAAAUAUUAAUAUAAAAAAAAGAACAAAAGAAAAUAUAGGUAAGAAUACUUUGUUUUGUACUUGCAUGUUUAUGAAUAGGUUCUAACCAAGCAAAAAUAAAAAAAAGUUUUACCUACUUUGGUCAUAUAUCAGAUACAUGCAUUGUAUCACAAAGUGAUAAACAUUUUGAUAAGUUUCUAAACUUUCUCAAUUAUUUUAAUUCAAAUAAAGUUAAUUUUUGUUUAUAAAUGUAGGUAUGAAGUUCUUCAAUGUGAAGAUUUGAAAAAAUGGUUAAAAACGGUAUUCAUCAGAUGAAGAUGUUUUUAAAAUGCGAUGUAUGUCUUGAAGACACGGACAGCAUAGUUAAGAAAAUUCACAUAUAAAUAGCUUAUUGUGGUAGGGACAAAAUGGUAUUAAAAGUACGCGAAUAGGAAGUGUGCAAAUGUUUCAUACAAAGCUUUAGAACUUUAUAAAGGAACUUUGAGAAGAAUGUCAUCUAAAAAACGUAGAGCUGCUACAGCUAAGUAUUGUCGUUAAGUCUUUAAUAAGCAAAGACAUCAAUUUUCCGAGGACAUGUUCAAACAUGCAUCAAAAAGCAGGGCAAUAAUGUAACAGUAGAUGUCACACAAACUUGUCAUGCAAAAAUUAGAAAAUUCACAGUGGUCUUAAUAUCCUUUUAUAAUGCCUUUUAGUCAUUAUCAUUAUACUCUAGCAUGUCUAGUGUUUAUUAAACAAAUAUAUUUCCAAAUCAUUAGUGAUUAUUGGUCUAUUUUUAUAUUAGAAAAAACACAUUUCUAAUAGCAUGUUAUACUUUAUUGUAAUCAGGGAUUUUACAAAAUGACUAGCUCUAUUUUCAGUGAUUUUGUGAAAUCCCUAACAAUUUCAGGGAUUUAACAAAACCACUAAAGCUGUUAGUGAUUUUAUAAAAUCACUGAUUAGUACAGUGAUUUUACAAAUUCACUGUAACAUAUACAUUGUGUCAUGUUACAUUACAAUGUCUUCUCGUUUUAUACGUGUUGCAGCACAAAGGUUCUAUGUUUUCUCGUUUUAUACCCUGCAUCAUGAAUGUUACAAAAAAAUAAUCAUCCUGAAUACCCAUUAGGAUCAUGUAUGUUUUAAUAAAAGUCAGAAGUUAAAUAAAGGCAUUUAAAACUGCUUAAAAUAUCAUCUUCAUAAGAUAUUCUACAGAACCACAACAUGAGAAUUUACCUUUUUGCAAAACAUUUCGCAUUUCGACUAAGGUUGUAAAAUGGUGAAAAAAUACAACGGUACUCCACUAUUUUAUUAUUAAUAUAUUUUUGUUUGUGUUCAUGCAAUUAUGAUUUUUAUUCAAUUAAGUUUAUUUUGUUGAAGAUACUUUAAUAUAUUUUUUUAAGAAUUACAGCAUAAUAUUGAUGAAAAAUAUUGAGCAUAAUAAAAUUAUAUUUGAAUUGUGAAAUGUUUAUUUGGUCUUGACACGAUUAAGGCGACACACAACUGAUAAAACAACCCGUACGUGCACAUGUUAACUCAGGUCUCUGGGGUUUUUAAAUCCGUUUACCUUCUAGUGUUGAAAAGAGAACUCCCUUGCAAUAUUGUAGUUUUUUGCCAGAUAAGGAACUCGGGUCCCUUGCAGCCUUUUGUAUAUUUAUUUACAAGAAAUUAAAC